ensembl:lncRNA
ACACAGCCAGAGCAGCCUCUGCUUGGCUUGACAAGCAGAGGGCUCACAGGAGACCUGUGGUGGACACAACACCUGGCCCAGCUCUGUGGGCCCUUUGGACUGCAGGGACUGGAGUUUGGAGCACUGGACAAGGCACAGAGGAUCAUGAUCUGGAGGACAGUCUGCCUGCAACUACUGAACCCAUGUAUCCACAGAGCAACGUAAACCCAAACACCUUAAACAAAGAGGAAACUGGAACUGGGGCCAGUAAACAGCAUGUCCAAAAGGAAGAGAGUCCUGGGAGGCAAGGAAAAUCAAAGGAAGAAAAAAAUGGCACCCAUUGAUAUUCAUCGACACUUGCUGAAUGUUUAUGGAUACCGAACAGUGGAUGUGAGCUCAGGGAGGUGGUGCGUGGUGCGUUUCAGCAGUGGUGACAGCAAUGUGACAGACAAACCACGUUCCAGACAGCUAUGCAUAUUUUUAUGAGCACAGCGUGCAGGCUUUUGUUCAUCGCCGGCAAAAAUGC